GACGUAGGAGGCGAGCGUUGUCCGGAUUCAUUGGGCGUAAAGAGCACGCAGGCGGUUUGGCAAGUCGGAUGUGAAAACCCGAAGCUCAACUUCGGGCCUGCAUCCGAAACUGCCCGACUAGAGGUAGGUAGGGGAGAUCGGAAUUCCUGGUGUAGCGGUGAAAUGCGCAGAUAUCAGGAGGAACACCGGUGGCGAAGGCGGAUCUCUGGGCCUUACCUGACGCUCAGGUGCGACAGCGUGGGGAGCAAACAGG
rnacentral:rRNA from 1 species